GUUCCAGAACCUCUCUGUGCCCAGUUCCAAAGACCAGACAAACGGGAUGCUGUGAGCAGGCACAGGUCCAGGUUUUAAAGUGCACGUAAGGCUGCACUCCUCUAAUGUGGCUAUAACAGAAGGUGCAUCCUCACACCUGUGACCAUCAUCUCAUCUGGCAGGAGAACAAAAACAGCUGGUGGCCAGUCACUCAUCUGUAUUUUGUUGUUUUUCAAUAAAGAAUGACAAAUUA